CUGAAGGCUUGCCAUCUGUUUCUGCAGACUGAUUAAGUAUCACUGAAACCAAAGGAGCAGGCUGCGUAGGUGGAUCUCGUGGCAAACUUUGCCUGUCCUGCAAAUGCAGUAGAUGAUCCAGAGACAAAGCCUGAGGUCUGCACUGCAAACAUGCCAGAGUCCUCCCUGGUCAAGGACGGUCGCAGCAGCUCUGUUGAAUAUGGAGCAUCCCCCUUGAGACAGUUUAGCCAAUCAUCACUGCUGCUGCACAGAAACUCCUACAUGCUCAGUACCUUCUGCACAGAGCACAAUGUGCAACAAUGUCUGUCACACAUCAAUCAAGAAAUAUCUUCUCUUGGCCUCCCACCAGUUUGGACAGAGUCGGGCGACAGCUCAGAGCUGAAUAUUGUGGCUGUGCUAAAUUGCAUGUAUGACCUGAUUCAGCUGCAGCGCCAGGGCCUCAGAACCAAGGGUGUAGAUUUGGCAUGGACGGAAGGGACAUGUCCCCACCAAUAUCCAGUGAUUAUUGAAUUGUCCCCACCAAUAAUUUGAUCUCUUCGAGUAAAGAAAAAAAAAACAAUAGAAAGAAGAAAAAAAAACGAUCUGUCAACAUCUCAUUCACCUAGCGGUGCAGAAAGAGUUACGCUCUCUACUGGAGUCCUACCUCAUGUGACAAAUAUGGCCAAUGUGAUUGGCUGUGCCUUUCAGGGAGCUCUGUUUCGUUUUAGCAGCGGCAAGCCUGCGCUGCGAGUAUCCGCAAGGAGGAGAGGAGGAUGGCAGCAAAAAGGAAGAACCUGGAUAUAAGAAAGUAUUUUUCAAAGAAACCUGUAAGUCACUUAAAGUCAAGUUCACUCAUAAAAUGUGUCCGUCAUAAUAACGUUACAGGCUAUGCUAGGCUUUGGCCCACAUCAGUCUAAAAUUGUAUGUAACCAUGAAUAACGUGUUUUGGAAACUAACUGCACAUCAGGCAGCACUAUUAGUUAUCAAAGUCUCCUAGCAUUUCUAAUUUUGAUUGAAACUGUCAGAGAAAACGGCAGCCUUGAGCAAGCCAGGAUAUUAGUUUACAGAGGCUGUUAAAAUUAUAUGUCUAACAUUAAAAUGUUGGUGACACAAUAAUUUCAUCCUAACGGCACUGACAUAUUCAUAGGGUUAGUUUUUGAGACAAAAUAUCAUGAGGUAGUUGUGAUUUUGCAAAUAUUCCACCUUGUAGUGCAGUUUGCACAAAUUGUUUUAAAAAUGCAUUCACCCUACAAACAUUACUGAUGAGUCAAGAUCUGCACAAAUUGACAGAAACACUGAAGCAGCUACACAUUUUAUUCUUAUUGUCAUGUAUGUCCUAUUUGUCAGGUGACAGAAGAACCAACACAAAGCUCAGAGAGCAAUGGUGAUACAAGAUCACAGGUGAAAUUGGAUGAUGACUUGGUGGUUCAUGACUGUAUUUGAAGUUAUUUUUAUUUUUGUAUGAUACCUGAUUUAUAUGGAAUAUGGCUGAAGUAAAAUAAAGUCUAAAAUACUUAGUCAGUCAUUUAUUUAAUAGUAGUUUAACAUGAUAUAAUUCACAUAUAAAACUAUGAAUUGUAAUUUUAAAUGGUUUAAAAGCAUGUAGAAAAGCAUAUGUAGGCAAGUAUAUUUCUCCAUUUUUUUUUUAAUCAAGAAGCAAAGAAAAAAAGGAAAAAAAAAAAGAAACGGGGCAGGGUUCGGUGGUUGAAUCAUCCGUCCCCACCAAUACCAAAACCAAAUCUACGCCCUUGCUCAGAACCCUUGAAAGCAUGGAAGUGGAGCAGCUUAAAUCUAGCAGCAAUAUCGAUCACCUGCAGCUCACCAUCACUCGUCUGAAGGAGCAGCUCGAACUCUCUAAAAGAGAAAACACGGGACUUCUUGAGAGAGAACGGCAGCUACAGCUGAAAGCAAAAAGUUUGCAGAGCUGUCUGAAGAAUGAAAAAGAAGAGGUUCAAAAGCUUCAGAACAUUAUUGCAAGCCGGGCCAGCCAGUACAAUCAUGAGAUGAAAAGGAAGGAAAGAGAAUUUAAUAAACUGAAGGAACGACUGAAUCAGCUUGACAAAAAGGAGAAGAAACAGGCCAUUGAUGUAUUAAACAACAUUGGGAGAGCUGAUGGGAAGAGAAGCCUUUGGAAAGCUGAAAAGACAGAAGCAAAUGGCGAGGCACAACCUUUACUCCGAAUGCCAAAAUUCUCUGUUUCCAGUUUGUGUUGAACCUUCCACAGUUUGACUAGCACUCGGUGAGUAGUUGGCAAGUGUUUGCAGACACCAUGACAGCUACAGUAACCGCGGCUAUCGUCUAGUUGCCAAAUUAAUCAUAAGGUGGUCUUUGGUGUAUCACUGCAUACCUCUUUGUGAUUAUGUUCACCUAUUCGCCAGCAACUGAUCGCCUAGAGACACCUGUGUGACUAAGAUGACUGGAGAGUGUAAAGUUGGCGUUAGAGAAAUGCCCCCCUCUGCUCAGUCUUCUUUGUUGCUUGCAUAAAAUGUUACUAAGGGUGGCCAGUGGCACUCUGAGAACCCUAGAUAUAUAGGUGAACCUUUUUUGGAUCAGACAAACUCCUCUAUGUUCAGGGUUCGUACGCUUUUUUCAGGGUCAAAUUCAAGCACUUUUUAAGCUUUUCCAGCCCCCCACCCGCCCGUCAAAAAAAAAAGAAUGCAUGUUUCAAUUUGCAUCACCUCAGUACAAUUUAUCUAAAUUCAGACAAAAUUUUAAAUACAAGUAGAAAGUGAUAUUUUUGACAGUAAAAACCACAAGCAUGAGAGAGAGGAUAUUAGGCCCCUUAUGUCAAAUUAUUCAUGAGCUUUUUGAGUGAUAGGUUCUAAUGAAUUAUUCAUGAGCUCCGGAAGUAAUAACGGAAGUAAUAACGGAAGUAAUUAAAAAUAUGAUAUUCAUAAAAAUAUGAUAUUCAUAAAAAAUAUGAUUUUCAUAAAAAUUAUGAUAUUCAUAAAAAUAUGCUAGUUCAUAGCUCAUUGCUUUUUCUUCCCCCAAAACCUACUAAUUGAUUAUUUUUUUAUAUCAAAUAGCAUUCUUUUAUUUUUAAGCUAUUAAAAAAGUUUUUUACUUUUUUUAUGCUUAAAAAACGCCAUCUACUGGUGGGUCAGCGCAUGAGCGCCCAGGGCGCGCACCCGCGGGAGCGCACCUCUCUCUCUGCAUCAGGCCUGUGUGUUUCUGGGACCGUGCCUUUUGUGUGUGUGAAAACAUGUUAAACCAGUAUAAAUGUGCUUAGUUAAACUUGUGCUUUUGUAACGUUCAGUAUGGCCAGACAUACAGGGUGCAUGCCUUUGGGGAACACUUUAUUUAAUUUUAUAUGCAUUUGUUUAAUCCGAACAAGGAGAUUUAAAAUCAAACUCAGAAUCGCAAAAAGAAAAAAGUCUCGCGAUCUCCCCGAGCAUAAACGCACCGCUGCUCCCAACAUAAAAAACUUGCUGAAAAAACUCUUUUUCUCCAAAAAACGCACCUGAAAACCCCAUAGAAUUACUCGAUAAAACUCUCUCCCCGCUCCCAAACCCCGAUCCUUAGGAAAUAAGCAGGGAGAAACUCCUGAAAAAAUCCUCCGUAUUUCUAUCCAAAAAACCCCUAGAAUAACUUGUAGCGACCCCCUCGUAUACCCUAACCCUUAUAUUCGAUAACUGGGAAAAAUCCUGAAAAAACCUUUACUCUUUUUUCUUCAAAAAACCAGCCCUCUCACUAAAAAUCCGCGCAGAGUCUAAGUCCUCCUUUCGCUCUUACUCGGCCCGCAACCGCAGCCAGAGCACAGUUUUUUCCUACUUGUUCGUUCCCUGGCUCAGAUAGCAAUGCUCCUACUCCUAGUUUCAAAAUUUGCGCCGGAGACCAACUCCGCCUCCUCAGGUAAACCUUACUGCCCCGCUGCCAAUCACAUAACAAAGGGGCGGCUCUCAUUCGCACCCUGGCUAGCCAAUAGCGCUCGGCUUGGAUUUACCUGUUCAGCAAUAGGUUAACUUGCUCGCUCUCAUUCGCACCCUGGCUAGCCAAUAGCGCUCGGCUUGGAUUUACCUGUUCAGCGAUAGGUUAACUUGCUCGCUCUCAUUCGCACCCUGGCUAGCCAAUAGCGCUCGGCUUGGAUUUUUAUGAUCUCCCGCAGAGGUUAAGACUUGCUUCGGUCUCUCACAAGCCAACUGACUUCGGUCGCGUGGACAACUACCCCCGUCUCCAGACCCUUCAACAAUUGGCGACACUCAGACCGAAUUCACAAUAUUACCCCCGUCUCCAGACCCUUCAACAAUUGGCGUCACUUUUACCUGUCUGUGCAUAUCAAUCGAUUCUGAAAUUAGCCUGGUCGACUCUUCUCUUUUCGAUUCUCUGGAUCAAAUCGACAUAUCGGAUUUGGACAACUAUGUUUUCUCGAGAGAUGUAAGUGAUUCACCACCGGUUUUAGAGCGAGUUACAGGCAAGAACAUCCGUCUCUCGACCCGCGAGAGGCAGGCCCUGCUUUCUGAUAGAGCUCGCCCAGCUUCAUCCACCCUCGCCGGCGCUCCAGCUCGUCCGGGAAAAAACCUCCAUUUGCUCUCCGCCAACCCUACCCGGGCCCCCGUAGGAGGUUCACAUCCCCCGCGCUCCGUGGGGAAAAACCUCCAUCUUACCGCCCGCCAGAGGCAAGAACUGUUUGCCGCACACGCCCCCACUCCCCCGGCUGCUGCAUCAUCUCCUACAUCGGGACAUCCACAGCCCCAGUCUCUGAGAUCCAAUCGAGGCCCUCUCACAAACAGGAACAGGAGGACCGUUAGGAGGACCCGCAGGCCUGCCAGCACAAGGAGGACAAGGCAAAUACGUGUACGGCGAGACAGACUUGCUUCCGUUGCUCUCCGAGCUGUAUCUCUGUUCGCUGAAUUAGUGCAACUCAUCUUAUAAUAAGGUUUUAUUUAUUUUAAUUGUUUUUAUUUUUAUUUAUUUUUAUUUUUUUAUUUUAAAAAAAUAUAUUCUUUGUUAAACAAUAAAAAAAUGAACAACCAGGAACAAGAUAUUCCAGGGUCUGGAAUAUCUUGUUCUAAAGCAAGAAAUGGGUCAUUUCUUGCUUUAGAAAUAGAGUUAGCCCGGUUAAAUGAAAACGCCCAUCAUUCACAGAAUACACCUCCGCAGAAUCAUGAACAACCUGAUGUGAGCGAUAAUAAUAACGAUCCUCUAGAACUGAUUGAUUUAGCUCUUGCACAACUAGCCCAUAGUGAAAGUGCCCCUCAGAAUAACACUGAGAAUUUAGGAGUUGACCAUGUUGAGGCUCAUUCUCAGCAAAACAUUGCCUCCUCUGACCCUUUCGCAGCUCUUAAUAGUGCUUUAGAAGCCUUAGCACAAAUACACCAUGAGGUUCAAAUACCUCCAGAAUUAUUGAGUCAAAUAAACAGGCUAAAUGAAAAUAAUUUUAACGAUAGCCAGCAUUCGAUCUGUUCUAACCCAGACGGGGGGUCUGUUAACCGCAACCCACCCCCAUCGUUGUUAAGCGGGUUCAAUGAGUCUAAUCAACAACAAUCGUCCGAGAUUGUCUCUGUUAACCCCGUAAACAAUGCGCCCGAUCAUCCCUUUCAACAAGGGGGUAAUCCAGAGCAGGGGUGUUCCAGCAAUUCAGCACAGCCGCAUAUAAUUGUGAGAAAUAAAUUUAAUAACGUUGAAAUUAGAGAAAUUUUGAAUUUCCCUCCUCCAAAUGAUUUACCUGAUUAUGCACACUAUUAUCAAGGCGUAAUGGCCAGUGCCCGCCAAAUAGCAGACAGGAUUUUCUCGCAUUCACGUCCAGGGGAUCUUAUACAAUUAGAGUUGAUAGGCCAAGAGCUACAAAAUAAUGUUUCAGUUAUUUUAAGGGAUAGUCGUGAUUUGAGUGAAUUUGAAAAUUUAUUCCUCAGAGCCGUACAAUCAAAUUGGUCAGUAAUGUGCAGCGCUUCGCUGGAGCUUGUUGCUCAGAUUGUCACACCCCCAACCGGUAGUGGAAAGAGACAUCUUAGCCAGAUACUCAACAAUGAAAUUGUUAAAAAGAAGAGGCGUUUUUUAUAUGUGGUUCAUAACCCGUUCAACAGGUUAUGUUUUUCAAUAAGUCUUGCCCACCUGCUGCACCCUGAUUUUAACGAUCAACAGGCGGAGGCUUUCGGUAGAGAAAUUCAACAAAAAGCUGGUCUAAAUGAUCAAACUCCUGUCGGUUUUAAUCAAAUAAUUACAUUUGAAAGGUUACUCGGAUGUAAAAUUAUAGUAUUUUACCGUAACGAAAACGAUCGUAGCCUUUGUAAAUUUCAAACUAGUACGCCAAAUACACAAAAAACCCUUUGUUUAUUUUUAUUUGAGAAUCAUUACUAUGCUAUCAAAAAUUUAAAAGGAUUUGUGGGUACAGAUUAUGUAUGUAAUCAUUGUUAUAUCGGGUACAACCAUGUCUUAUCACACUUCUGUCCUGCUCGAUGCUCGGUCUGUAUGCAGCCUGAGUGUAGCGAUCACUCCAUCUCUCCUGUUGUAUGUAGCGAAUGUAACCGCACCUGUCGCUCUGCCUAUUGUUUCGAGAGCCAUAAAAAAAUCGUGCAGAGGCGUGAAAGACUCGCAAGCAACUGCCAGCUCUAUAAAAAAUGUGCCAUGUGUUCGAGACUUUAUUAUUUAUCAGCAUCAGAAAAACCCCACAAAUGUCAAAACAAGAAAUGUCCAAUCUGUAGCCAGGAAAUCUCUACUGAUCAGCAAACGCAUCAGUGUUACAUGCAGGUUUUAGAACGCGAGACAAAACAUAACAAUAAGUUGAUUUUUUAUGAUUUCGAAACGUUCAUAAACGAGCACGGUGAGCACACCCCUUUUCUGGUUUGUACAAAAACAUCCGAUGGCAAAAUCUGGACUUGUAUUGGUGAGAACUGCGCGGAAAAGUUUCUCGCUCAUUUUAGACGCCCACUCUUUAAGGGCUGUAUUUUUAUCGCUCAUAAUGCAAAAGCUUUCGAUGGGUACCUUAUUUUAAGCCGAAUGGCUAAACAAGGGCUGAAACCUCAUUUAAUCAUGCAGGGCUCCAAGGUUAUCAGCUUUACAGACCCAGGCUUUAAUCAACGAUACAUGGAUUCCAGCUGCUUUCUCCCCAUGCCCCUGUCAGGUAUUCCAAAAGCAAUGGGGUUUUCAGACAGCGUAAAGGGUUUCUUUCCACACUCUUUCAGUUCCAGAGAAACUCUAAAAUAUAUAGGCCCCUAUCCUCCACCCUCUGCUUACAGCCUAGAGAGAAUGACAACAAAAGGCAGGCAUGAUUUUUACAGAUGGUAUGAUUCAGUCAGCUCUGGCACGUUUAAUUUCAUGAAGGAGGCAGUGUCGUACUGUGAGAACGAUGUUGAAAUUCUAGCUCGGGGGUGUACGUUGUUUAGAAACGGUUUUAUUGAAGAGACAGGAGUAGAUCCUUUCAGCCGCAACACGCUUGCAAGUGCCUGCCUCAAAACUUUUUUAACAAACUUUAUGCCAGCCAAUUCUUUAGCAAUACCAUGUCCUCUAAAUUACCGUAAUCAGGUCAAGUCAUUUUCCUCUGCUUCAAUUCAAUUGCUAGAAUAUCUCUCGUACACACGAGGUGUUUUUAUCAGACAUGCGCUAAAUCAAGGAGAAAAAAAGCUCGGUGCUUAUUAUGUAGACGGAUAUUCCGAAAUUAACAGUAAACCCUAUGUAUAUGAAUUCUUGGGUUGUUACUUUCACGGGUGUGUUAAGUGUUUUUCAAAUCAGUCCGACAUUAAUCCCUUGUUAGACCUCACUUUUGCAGAGCUAAACAGCAGCACUGAAGAAAGACUCACUAGAUUGAGAACUGAGUAUAAUGUAUCUCUUGUUACAAUCUGGGAGCAUGAGUGGAGCGAGUUAAAGCGUAUUGAUCAGAGUGUAAUCAGUUUUCUCAAAAAUUAUGAACCGCCAGACCCUUUGAACCCCCGCCACGCCCUCUUCGGAGGGCGUACAAGUCCUGCACAGCUGCGCUGCAGUGCAGGCCCUGGGGAGAGAAUCAAUUAUGUGGAUGUUACCUCACUGUAUCCGUUUGUAAAUAGCACCUGCAGUUACCCGUUAGGACAUCCUCAAAUAAUCUUUAGAAAUUUUCAGCACCCUAAAAACUACUUUGGCUUUAUCAAAGCGGUUGUAUACCCACCCAGAGCAUUGUAUUUUCCCGUUUUACCCUAUAAAACAAACUCAGGCAAGCUUCUCUUUACCCUCUGUCGCACUUGUGCUGAAAUGAACAACCAGGAGGGGGCCUGUAACCAUAGCAACGAGGAGAGAGCACUCAGAGGGGUGUGGACCACUGUAGAAUUUAACCUUGCGUUAGAAAAGGGCUAUCGAAUAAGUAGAAUCACCGAGGUAUGGCACUUUGAGAAACAGAGUAACACAAUAUUCACAGACUAUGUACAUCAUUUCCUGCGCAAAAAACAGGAAGCUUCAGGUUACCCAUCAGAUGUUGUAACUGAGGCGGAAAAACAGCUUUACAUUAAAGACUACCAGGCUAAGCAAGGCAUCACUUUAGACCCUGAAAACAUAAAACUAAACCCCGCUAAAAGACAAAUGGCCAAACUGUGUUUAAACUCUUUUUGGGGAAAAUUUGGCCAGAGAAAUAAUCUCACACAGAGCAAGCUCGUGAGUGACCCUGAGGAGUUCUUUAAUCUGAUGUUCUCCCAAAAAUACAAAGUCUCAUAUUUCUCUUUUGUCAGCGAUCAUGUAGCGCUUAUUCAAUGGUGUUAUGGCGAUCUCUCUACCCCAUUGCCAAACUCCACAGAUAACAUCUUCAUUGCGGCCUUCACUACAUCAUAUGGGCGUAUGAAACUCUACAGUUAUUUGGAUCAGUUGCAGGAGAGAGCUAUUUACUACGAUACUGACAGUGUUGUUUAUCUCACCAAGCAAAAUCAAUCUGAGCUAGAAUUAGGUAGAUAUUUGGGCGACCUCACUAAUGAACUAGAGCAGGAUGAUUUCAUUACAGAGUUUGUUGCAGCUGGACCUAAAAGCUAUGGCUAUAUGACCAAAAAAGGUAAAGUUGUCUUGAAAGCAAAAUGGAUCACACAAACACACGAUGUCUGCGAAAGGGUCAAUUUUGAAUCUGUAAAAAACCUGGUUGAUAAUUACAUUGAUAACUGUGAAGGAGGGUCUAUACUUGAGGCACCCCAGCACACUAUCCUUCGUAAUAAAGCGGGGUUUGCACUGAAAAAUUCAUCAUUCCCCAAAAAAUUCCGGGUUGUUUAUGACAAGCGGAGAUUGCUGCCAGGAGGUCACACUUUACCCUUUGGUUAUUGAUUAUUCUUUCUUUUUCUUUUUUUUUUUUUUUCUUUUUGAUUUUGUUUUUAAAAAUGUUUCAACCUGCUUUAAUCGAGUUUGAUCCCAGACUUCAUGUUCCAUUUUCCUGUAUGGUUGUGGGGCCAAGUGGCUCGGGAAAAACAUUUUUUGUGAAAUCUGUAUUGGAAAACUGUGUACAUGUUUUGAACAAGCUUAUUGAUAACAUUGUGUGGGUUUAUACAUCCUUUCAGCCUCUGUAUUCUGAGCUUCAAGAGAAAAAUAA